rnacentral:rRNA from 1 species
GACGAACGCUGGCGGCGUGCCUAAUACAUGCAAGUCGAGCGAAGUUUUUCUGGUGCUUGCACUAGAAACACUUAGCGGCGCACGGGUGAGUAACACGUAAAGAACCUGCCUCAUAGACUGGGACAACUAUUGGAAACGAUAGCUAAUACCGGAUAACAGCAUUAACUGCAUGGUUGAUGUUUAAAAGUUGGUUUUGCUAACACUAUGAGAUGGCUUUGCGGUGCAUUAGCUAGUUGGUGGGGUAAAGGCCUACCAAGGCGACGAUGCAUAGCCGACCUGAGAGGGUGAUCGGCCACGCUGGGACUGAGACACGGCCCAGACUCCUACGGGAGGCAGCAGUAGGGAAUCUUCCGCAAUGGGCGAAAGCCUGACGGAGCAACGCCGCGUGAGUGAAGAAGGAUUUCGGUUCGUAAAGCUCUGUUGUUAGGGAAGAAUGAUUGUGUAGUAACUAUACACAGUAGAGACGGUACCUAACCAGAAAGCCACGGCUAACUACGUG